UCUGUGGUGAUGAGCUGCGCAGGGGUACGGACCUCAGCCGAUGAUGGGGGCUGAGUGCUGCUGCUGAGCUCUGAUUGGAGGACAAGUGGUUCACUGACAGACCGGCAGUAGCACGAUAUUGACGCCAGACUGAACAGA
rnacentral:snoRNA from 1 species